GUGAAAAUAAAUAAAAGCAAACUGAAUGAAAGGAUUUUAAUAUACAGAAGUUCAUUUAAAGCUUUUUACAGCCCACCUGUUCAACCAAUUUUGACGAAAGGUACAAAGUUCUUGUAUGGCGGAUCUUCUUCGCGGAGAUGGACAUUGCUGAUGUUUUAUUACAGAAAAUAAAACAGUUCCUAUUGGAUAAAUCCGUGCAAAUUAAGUUGUCAUUAUUAUCAUUUAUUUGGUAUGGAGUAUUUGGUGUCAUACUGGACUACAUCAGACUAGGUAUCCUGGAAAUCAAAGAGUUAGCACUGGAUUUUUAAAACUUAAAAGGGCAUCAUGUAGUUAUUAAAUAUUAUAAAUAACACUAAGACUACUAUCUAUCUUAGUAGAUAAAUAGUAAAAUAAGAAGAAUAUUACCUAAUUGUCUAAUUAGCAAUUUAGAAAAUUAAAGAUCAAUAAUUCCUUUUUCAGUGAAACCUGAGCUUGAAAGCCUGUGGAUUAGUGCCUAAUCCACUUUGCUAGAAGAUUGCAUUGUGGUGUUCCUGCAUUAAGACUACAUUCUACAGAAUAAGCUCCCAUAAGCUGUCAGUGCAGUAACACUCCUGUAUAAUUUUGUAAUAAUAUAAAAAUUUAAAAUUAAAUAAAUUGUUUUUUAUAGCUAGAACCAGCAAGAAACUCGACGGUUGCUCAUUUCAAAGAUUUGAUAUACUGAAUGAGUUAUUGGUUAGGUUAGAGAGCUGUGGCAGGCAUGCCAGUCUUCAUUGUUAUUUUUUUAUAACCACUUCUUGAAUGACCUUCCCCUUUUCUCCUCACCCUAUCGAGGGUAAAAGUUUUACCAAUAUCAAUUUUAUCAAAAUUAAAAAAUUCAAUAAAAUAAUCCAUCUGGGAAGGAGAGGGAUUGACUUACCCUCCUCUCCCUCUUGCCCAUCCCACCCCCACUUACGUCCUAUCGAGGCGGCAUGUUUCAAAAUAUUGAGCCAUACAAAUAAACAAAAU